rnacentral:lncRNA from 1 species
AAGGACAAAAUGCCUGGGGGAGCAAUGGGCAUCUUAAACUUAAACGGAGAGGUCCAGAGGGUUUCAGAAUCUAUAAGCACAUCCAUACUCUCAAGUCACUAUAAACUCAGGAGACCAGACACUGGGACAUGGAGGUCAGGACAAGGAAUAAACGGCAUACCAGAGGAGCCCAAAGGAUGGAAGCCAGCUCUACAAAGUGCUUCCAAGAGCCUUCCUGCCACAGAAAUUCCAUUUAGCAACAAUCAUUCUCAUGGCCCUGGGCCUGGAGGGAGGUGGUGACAGGGUGGCCUGUGUCUGUGAUACUACUAAUAGAGGAAGAAGCCACUGGGUCAGUGCCCCGCCAACCAGCCUCCUCCCACACACGAGCUUCUGGAAAACAGAACAAAAACAGAUUCUGAGCACUAAGAAUCCUCAGGUGAAGGGGGAGCAGGGUCCUGCACUGAGGACCCUCCAGUCCCACGAGAAGACAUGGCUUAACCUUUUUGGAGCCUCCAGUACAAAUGUUAUAGACCUAGCUGUCUUUUAAAAGGGAGGAGUCAUGGAUCCUGGGGCACCAUGUUCUCACCGCCUCACCUACACAGACUAAGCAACUCAGGAGCAUGCUCUGUCUGUAAUGGACAGAGACGCAGAAGUGCUGUCUGUCAACAGGAGCUCGGGGAACAUCCCCACAGCCUGGCUCUGGGGCCAUCUCUCUCUUUCUUUCCCCAUCAUGAUGCCUGCCCAUGGGAAUGAAUCUGAGCCCCGAGCUCACUUGUGACCCAGGAAUGGCGACCUCUCGGUGGCCUCCCUUCUUCCCUCCAAAUAUGUUUCUGUUCCUUUUCCCCACUCCCGGUGACCCUCCCCCACCUGCUAUUUCCCAAGCUGGCCCUGGGAACAUCAUGCCAAUGGCCUACCAGUGGUCUUGUUUUACAUGAUACAUUUCCAAAAAAGACCAAAAAGUCCUUUCCAGGAAAAUGCCAUUUUAAAAAUUCAGUCCCAGACACCGUGGCAACAUAAGGAAAACAAAGGACUUGGCAGAAAGGUUGCUCUGAACUGGGACUUUCUCUCUAAAAUACCUUUUUCCAAACUGUGUGCAGUAGGAGCGGUGCCAGGGGUCAGUUCUGGAACACGCAAACAAUCCCAGACACCAACUGGUGCUGUCUACAUAGUUCCCUCUCCUUAGCUGGACUAUUCUGGGAUUCUUAGGUUUAAUCCAGAAAGCUUUCAAAGGGUCCCCAAAUGAAGAAGCAGCCACUGGAAGGUCAGGAAAUAGUUUCUACCUUCCUUGGGAAGGGACUCUUUGCUACCAUCACCAAGCUGAAGGCCAGCAGGUCAUACUAUGUUAGUAGAGAACUGCUCUGCUCAUUAUUCUAGUGAGAGGAGACGAGAUCACACCUGGAACAUGCAAUGAGGUCCUAGUUGCUCUUAGGUAGGCUCUAAGCAAUAUGACUUGUUCUCUUUAAGAAGAAAGG